UACGUAGGGGGCAAGCGUUGUCCGGAUUUAUUGGGCGUAAAGAGCGUGUAGGCGGUCAGGUAGGUCCGUUGUGAAAACUCGAGGCUCAACCUCGAGACGCCGAUGGAAACCAUCUGACUAGAGUCCGGAAGAGGAGAGUGGAAUUCCUGGUGUAGCGGUGAAAUGCGCAGAUAUCAGGAAGAACACCAACGGCGAAAGCACUCUGCUGGGCCGACACUGACACUGAGAGACGAAAGCUAGGGGAGCGAAUGGG
rnacentral:rRNA from 1 species